rnacentral:misc_RNA from 1 species
AAGUCGUAACAAGGUCUCCGUAGGUGAACCUGCGGAGGGAUCAUUACCGAGAGAGGGUGCUUCGGCGCCCGACCUCCCAACCCUUUGUUUGACCAAAACCAUGUUGCCUCGGGGGACGACCCGGUCGCCCCCGGUGGACCAACCUCAAAACUCUGCAUCUUUGCGUCGGAGUACAAAAGUUAAAUCGUUAAAACUUUCAACAACGGAUCUCUUGGUUCUC